AUGGCGCCAUCAGCUGUAACAGCGACUCCAUGUGGACUGUGCCCCAAUUUCCAGUGGAGAUGCUGUUACCUUUGACGGCGACCAG
rnacentral:pre_miRNA from 1 species